ACUUCUGGUGCCACAUAAUCUCUAUUCUGCAUUUGCAAGUAUCCGACAUAGCUGCCAAGUUCUCCCCUUUUUUUAAGGGAAAUUCCCUUAUGCUGAAUAGGCUUCCUCACGAGAAAAGGGAAAACUUGGCAGCUAUGGUAUCCGGUCAUUUUGUGUUACACUUUGGAACUCCCUGCUUUUUUAUUUCAGGCAGGUGCUUUCACAGGACUCUUUUUGAUGCCAGCUGAAGACAUUCUUAUUUAGACAAGCCUAGCCAGAUGUUUAGAAAGCUUGAACCAAGAGCAUUGACCAAGGAGCCUAGAUGGCACAUCAAGAGACUGGCAUCUGACUGCAGCUCUCAGCUGAAAGUGUUCCCGUUCACACAAGCACCUGUGCAUUGCACUGAAUUGUACUGGAUUGACCAAGAAGAGUAAUCCCAUCAGCUUGAUUCAAGAAAAUUGUGAGGAUGCAGCCCCUCGUGCCCACUCCAUUUCCUCGUGAGGAAGGGGACGCUUCGGGCUCCAAGUCUACACAUCUCUACUCAGAAGUCCCAUUGAAUUCAGUGGGACUUACUCCAGGGUCCAACCUUCCAGAACAGGAGAAAAUGAGCUUGCUCCAUCUUCCAUGUGACAGCCCAUGUGACAUGGGCAUUUAAAGGCCAGGAUGAAGAUUUCAUAAGCAUAUCACUUGUGGGACAUCAUUCCAUAAUCUGCUGGCCACAGAUAAAAAGCUCUGGUCGUUGCCGCAGGUGUCUAGUCACAUUUGGUUCCAAAUGCUAGGGAAUCCAGAGAACAGCCCAUUCAAAAGACAAUCAGCAAAUGCCGAGAGUGACCACAGCUUACCAUGUGCCCUGCAUGCAGAAGGUCCUAGGCACAAUCCUUGGCAUCUCUAGGCAGUUCUUGGAAAGGCUCAAGACUGAAGCCCUGGGUAGAUGUAGCCAGGCAGUGGGGACCAAAAGGGAUUCUCCUUUGGCCCUGCAGGUAUGGCAGGACUCCACCGCCCUUCUUCAUUGACCAUUGACCAUGAUGGCCAGGACCAAGGAGAGGUGGAGUCCCAACAACAUCUGGAGAGCCACAGGCUAGCCAUGGCUGAUACAGACAACACUGAGAUACAGGGACAUGAUUACUAUUUUCCUCUAUAGAGGAUGUCAGACACUCAGAUCUGAGAAAUGCUGAAUACAUGCAUAGCAGGAAGGAUGACAAUGCUUGUCCUACCAGAUCAUCAGCCUGGCUGUUGCCAUCCUUCCUGCUAUGCAUGUAUUCAGCAUUUCUCAGAUCUGAGUGUCUGACAACAGACUACUGGAGUUCAGCAUAUUUUUGGAGCUUUGUAUCUGAGAGUUGUAUAGGACAUUCCCUGCUGAGUGAAGAAGCAGUAAUGAUAGCACACAUCUAUAAUUAUUUGCCAAUGGCUAUACUUAAGCCAAAGAUAUCAACUUUUGCCAUACUGAAAACAGUUGACUCAUUUCUGCAUCAUCAGUCUCUUUGCAAAGUUUGUCCUAUCGAACUGGUCUAUGUCAAACACUGAAGAUGGAAGGUGAGGAAAGAAAAACUAAUCUCCAGGAAAAACCACCCAAAUUCAAUUAGGAAUGCUUGGCGAGAGAGUAAUUAGCAUUGAACUGAAGAAUGGAUCCUAAGCUUUGACAGACCUAUGGUCUUAAUGUCAGAUGCAAAGCAAUACUAUGCACAGAGGUUGAUUUCUCACAGGAAGUGGUGGCCCAAAGGCUGGUGAGCUUAGCACAAUAUCUACUGAAAUGUAAGUGAUGGUUAACUAUAUUGAACCUUAAAGGCCCACAGGGAAGAGAUUGAAAGGGACUUCAGGAAUACAGCACUGCUGGAAUAAGGCAAUUUUUGAGAGAAACAGAUUCUAUUGUGAGAUUAUAAGAAGAAAAAGGUGAAUGAGUAAGAGGAGAUGUGUCAUUCACAGAUGGAACUACCUUUCCUCUUCUGAGAUACGGGGGGCCAGGAAACAAGGUGUCUACUCAAAGGAAUAGUCCAAAUGAGUUGAGCAUGUGAAAAAAAGUGCAGUGUGGGGGGAAAACACUGAGUGGCCACCUAAAGAACUCAGCACUUGCUGAAGCGAGAAGACAACUAUAAACCAUGACAAUGCCUGCUAAAAGGAUCACCGUCCACUGACAAAUUGACCAGACCAUUGCAGAUUGUCUGUUUUCUAUGCAUAUGUAUUCUUUCAAGUGAAGGUGGGCAGUCAUUAAGUCAGCAUCAAGCAAACCAUUGCCAUUUUCAGUUGAUUCAGUUCAAUCGAUUGUGGCAUCCCCUCCACUCCCAAAUACAGCUGGUGUCAAAUCUUAUGUGUCGUGUGGUGUCAGCUGAUGGCUUUCCUACUCACCCAGGCCAUUCAGGUGAACCGGGCGACCUGUUUAGUCUUUGUAUAAGUAGGCUGUUUUUUUGUCUGUGUGCUGCAUUUUUAUACAGUAAUGCUAUUUUACAGUGUUGUUCUGGUAAUGAAAAGCAGAUGAGAAAUAAUUUGUUUAAAUGAAUGAAUACAUUGUCAGGUCUCAAAA